ACUCCUACGGGAGGCAGCAGUGGGGAAUAUUGCACAAUGGGCGCAAGCCUGAUGCAGCCAUGCCGCGUGUAUGAAGAAGGCCUUCGGUUGUAAAGUACUUUCAGCAGUGAGGAAGGUGGGUAUGUUAAUAGCAUAUUCAUUUGACGUUAGCUGCAGAAGAAGCACCGGCUAACUCCGUGCCAGCAGCCGCGGUAAUACGGAGGGUGCGAGCGUUAAUCGGAAUUACUGGGCGUAAAGCGCAUGCAGGUGGUUUGUUAAGUCAGAUGUGAAAGCCCGGGGCUCAACCUCGGAAUUGCAUUUGAAACUGGCAAACUAGAGUACUGUAGAGGGGGUAGAAUUUCAGGUGUAGCGGUGAAAUGCGUAGAGAUCUGAAGGAAUACCGGUGGCGAAGGCGGCCCCCUGGACAGAUACUGACACUCAGAUGCGAAAGCGUGGGGAGCAAACAGGAUUAGAUACCCUGGUAGCACA
rnacentral:rRNA from 1 species